AGUGGCGGACGGGUGAGUAACGCGUGAGUAACCUGCCUCUGAGAGGGGAAUAACGUUCUGAAAAGAACGCUAAUACCGCAUAACGUAUCGAAGCCGCAUGACUUUGAUACCAAAGAUUUUUAUUGCUCGGAGAUGGACUCGCGUCCGAUUAGUUAGUUGGUGAGGUAACGGCUCACCAAGACCGCGAUCGGUAGCCGGACUGAGAGGUUGAUCGGCCACAUUGGGACUGAGACACGGCCCAGACUCCUACGGGAGGCAGCAGUGGGGGAUAUUGCGCAAUGGGGGCAACCCUGACGCAGCAACGCCGCGUGAAGGAUGAAGGUUUUCGGAUUGUAAACUUCUUUUAUCAGGGACGAAGCUUGACGGUACCUGAUGAAUAAGCUCCGGCUAACUACGUGCCAGCCGCGGC
rnacentral:rRNA from 1 species